UAACAUAUGCUUGUCUAAAAGAUUUAAGCCAUGCAUGUCUAAGUAUAAACGACAUUAUAUAGUGAAACUGCGGACGGCUCAUUAUAUCAGUUAUAGUUUACUUGAUGGUCCAGUCUAUUUAGUGUUUCUGUCAAAGGAAAUAUGGAGUAGAUUUAUUGGAUAACUGUUGGAAUUCUAGAGCUAAUACAUUACGCAAACGCCCACCUUUACAAGGACGGGCCGGGUUAAUCCGCACCAUUUGGUGAGUCAGGACUAACGAACGGAUCGCACGCAGCAAUGCAGCGACACAUCACUCAAGUUUCUGCCCUAUCAGCUUUCGACGGUACAGUCUUGGUCUACCGUGGCGAUGACGGGUGACGGAGAAUCAGGGUUUGAUUCCGGAGAAGGGGCCUGAGAAAUGGCCACUACUUCUAAGGAAGGCAGCAGGCGCGCAAAUUACCCAAUCUCAGUUCGAGGAGGUAGUGACGAUAAAUAACGAUGCCAGUCCCGCAAGGGGCCGGCAAUCGGAAUGAGGGUGAUCCAAAUCCCCUACCGAGAAGCCAUU
rnacentral:rRNA from 1 species